AUACGGAGGAUGCGAGCGUUAUCCGGAUUUAUUGGGUUUAAAGGGAGCGUAGGUGGGAUAUUAAGUCAGCUGUGAAAGUUUGGGGCUCAACCUUAAAAUUGCAGUUGAUACUGGGUGUCUUGAGUACAGUAGAGGCAGGCGGGAUUCGUGGGGUAGCGGGGAAAUGCUUAGAUAUCACGAAGAACUCCGAUUGCGAAGGCAGCUUGCUGGACUGUAACUGACGCUGAUGCUCGAAAGUGUGGGUAUCAAACAGGAUUAGAUACCCUGGUAGUCCGCACAGUAAACGAUGAAUACUCGCUGUUUGCGAUACACUGUAAGCGGCCAAGCGAAAGCGUUAAGUAUUCCACCUGGGGAGUACGCCGGCAACGGUGAAACUCAAAUGAAUUGACGGGG
rnacentral:rRNA from 1 species